UUUCUCAAAAACCUCCGCAUACAUCUUUGAACAGAUUUCCUGCAAAUAAGGAGAAACUUAUAUAAAAAUUAGCACAAAAUGGCUUUUGAACACACUAAACUUAAGGAAAAAGUAUUAAUAAUACCGUGAAACCACUAUAUAUCAACACCCUCACCUUAAAUUCGUUGUUUGUCCUCAAGCGUCGCACUAUGACUCAAUACAAAAUCUUUGUACAAUAGUAUCCAAGUUUUAUCCUUUGCAAUUAUUUGGCUAUCAAUCCUGAUUAUUCUCAUCAUAUCUAUGCAUGAUAUCACUAUUAGGCUUGAAUUAUGUGUGAUCAGUAUAUGACACAGAUUCACCAUGUACUAACACCUAUCAUCUUCAAUUUCUCACCGAGAUGCUAAUAUUUCUGGUAUUGCAACUAUUGUCCUCACGUUGAAACCAAAUCCUCAUUUUUCACACAAUGAUUUCAAUUUGAGUAUAAGGAUUACUUUUCAACACUCGCUCUCAUAACAAAGUCACACUCAUUCAUACCUAUUGCCAUAAGCUUGCCCUUAUUUUCACUGCCUUAAGUUCGCUGUACAACCCUUAGGAUCACGAUAGGACUUUCUUAGCUUGUAACAUAGGCUUAGGGUCAGGUAGGGUAUAUUUAGGUAUACUUUAGUGACUUUUUUCUCUCCUUGACAUAUCGGCUAAACAUACCAUUUUCUAUCCCUUUAUCUUGCCCAGUUUCUCCUAUUCUUUCACCUUGCUAUUUUCUCUUCUUUCUUCAUUUGUGUACGUGACUCUCUUCUUUUCUUGCCUGUAUUUCUUGUAUAUUUUUCUUUUUUUACUUAUCUUUCAACCAAUUCUUGAUUCACUUUACUUUUUUUCUUUCUUUCUCUUUGUUCUUUUAACCCCACUUUCUAGAGCAUUCCUCAUAAUAGCCACCCUCAACUCAUGGAUCUGCCAUGAGUCAAGGUACACAAUACCCAAAGUUGGGUCAGGGCCAUAACGAAGGUUGUUUACUGCAUUUGCCACCCUCAACUUAUGCUUUUUGCAUAAGCUGAGGUGCACAUGUCCAAGGAGGGACCAGGGCCAACACAUUGUUCCCAGAAAAGAUCAGUUGGGGUGAAAAAGAAAGGUCUAAUUUAAGCUCAAAUCAUUUGGAUCAGAGAAGGAUAAAUUUCAUUUGGUUUUUUUUUCAGGCUAAAAAUGGGCUAUAUUGAAUAAGGGCCAAUGAUCCUUUCCUAAUUGUCUAUUACAACUUACUUUUAGCAGGACUAACCAGACAAAUUCUAGCUCAGUACAAAUAGUGGAUUAUUCAAAUCCUCCUUACACUCGCUUUACAUCUCAUCACUCUACCAGAUUAUCAGACACCUAGUUCGAAUUUUUGACUUAGGGUAAUGCAAUGGUGUACCUCUAUGUCAUGCUUAGAGCAACACAUUUAUUAGUUACUAUGCCUAUUCGUGCAUCAUUUUCCAGUUUAUUAGGAUAUAAUUUUUGCCAUCAUGCUCAAGAAUUAAACUAUGUACAAAAGAAAUAGACAUGCCGGUUCAACAGAAAAAGUAAUCAGUCUUUUGGGUAAAAAGAACACAUGCAAGAAAACCCCAAAAAAGGAUAGUGAAUUAGGCUACUCAGACUUCACCCUAGCACUCACUUUCCAUUUACCCCACCCCCAACAAAAAAACGUGCAAUUGUUCCCAAUGAAUAAAAAAAAUUAAACACUAGAGUGGUAGGCGAAGCAAGCAUGUGGCGCAAAGCACCGUCGAUCAGCAAGCUUGUGGGUCCGGUUUCCCGGAACCCACGUCCUCUGCAAUCUGGACACCCUCAGUGGUGUCCUAAAAAACAACUGCACUAUCAACAGUACCUCCCGCUAUCUCCACAGUUCGGGAGCUAGACGCCCCAGCCGCAAACUCUCCUGCUCUCAUCUAUUGGGCCGCCUCCUCAGCAAGUGAGGCUCUCCUUGCAGCCUCCAUCUUACGGUGCUCAUUCUUCCGUGCUCGCGCCUCGUCCUCUGCUCGACCCCUACGCCUCUUGGCAUGCUCUCGAGGGGGAGGUGGUGGAAUCUCUGAGGUGGUGAAUAGGGCCGCCAACAGUGUGUCUUCAGCAGGCUCAACAGAAGAGGCCUCAGACUCAGGCACCCUAAUCUCUAAGAUCGUGUCGAUACCUGGUGAAGACUGUCGACCGCAGCCUGAAGAGUCGACACAUCCACCGGAAGAGAUGGACGGGCUAGUACCCGCAACUCAAAAGCGUCCAAGCGCUGGUGAACCAUAACGAUCUUCGGCUCUGUAUACUGGACCAUUUUUCGCUCAAAGCAAUCUUCUAUCUCGGUAUUGGAACUCUUCAUCCACGGCUGGAUAUGAUGCAGAAGUGUAGCCAUUUGCGCCUCUAAUUUUUGGACCCUAGCAAGCGGGACCAGCGCAGGUAGAGGGGCUGUGCGAGAAGAGCUCGGGGCAGUGCUACUACCCGGGAUAGACUCGAUCGGGGUAGUGUCAGUGUAUGCCGCCUGCGUAGCCAUGCGGGCCUGGGCUAGCAUAUCAGCAAGAUCAUCAGCAAGUGGGGGCAGCUCUAGACGGGGCCCUCUGCGUGGAGCCAACUCAUUGGCCUCAUCUCUAUUGAGGACGACAUCAACAGAGCCCCGAGGGGUCUUGAGCUGAUCAACGUGCCAUAUAGGCACACCUACAAACCUGCAGAGAGAAAAGAUCAUGCACGGGAAAGGGAAGUAGUUGUGACCUUGAAAGCCCUCUCGUGUAUGACUGGCUGUAGAAGCCACGCGAAAUCCACCUCGAACCCGGCUAUCAUCACCGCCAUCAACACUGCUCGAUCCCAUGUAACGAUAUUAUCUGCGGUUGUGAGGGAAAGGCAGUGGCGGACAAUAAACCACAAGAACUUUGUCGUGAAAGUUAGGUUGGCUUUCUUGAUGGCCCCGUAUGGCUCGAUUACCCAGUCGGCAUCCUCUCCAUCAACUUACAGGUGAAGGGCCAUCCACCUCUUGGUGAUCUCUCUCAGCGAUGGCUCGCGUAGGAAAUGUCCAUCUUUAACAAGAUGCCAUCGGUAGUAAAACUCGGCAGUGAAAGGGGUCCGAGUAGCAUCAACACCCUCGCCGUAUAGAAACCGGGGGAUGGCAGGCAAGGAAAUAUCAACCUGAACGCCCCGUACUCGGACCUACUUCAGUGGGGCCUGUUUGGUGGGGGCAGCCCGCCUAUCAAUCUGUGAUCGAAGAGUCGCUACGUAGGAUGCAUAGAACUCUCGGACCCUUUCUUCACUAUAACAUCCCAACGAACGUGCUGUCCACUCCAGGCAAUAUCUGGUGAAGAGAUUCUGCAUCUCAGGCAUCGUUGGGAGACUCUCUGUAAGGACCCGCCGCUCCAAUGUGAGUGUUCGAGUCAUAACUCCUUUGUCAUUCAGGAACUUGGAGUCGGAGUAGACUUGAAAUUACUCGUCGACACACCACCGGUUGGGCUGGUCAGUAGUUGGGGUGAGGGCUCGAGCGGGUUAACCUGAUGUGGAUUCCGAAUUGCCAGCCUCAUCACACAAGGCCGACGCUGCAGCAGUGGCGGGUGCGGGAACCUCAGCAGAGCCGAAGGCUUCCUCCGACCACAAAACUCCUAAGGAGCCAACCGCUCCUUCUUCAUUGGUGGUUGACCCAGAAGGUGUGCCGGUCAGUGUGUGCUCUUCAUCAGACUGGGAGGCAGUGACUACGCCGAAAGCCACCUUUUUGGGUGUGGCUCUUGUGGCACGUGAAGCACGGGAAGGGGUGGAAGUGCCUGGGGGAACGUACUCGGGGUCACGCUCAUCAUCAGAGCCAACGACCAUGCGGGUAGACAGGGCGACAGACUUCGAUCACCCACGUGCAUACACUUGACCUUUUUUAGGUGCCAUAGUAGAUAGGAACUGUAAAGGAUCAAUAUUAGUACGAGUAGUGGCAAACAAGACAAGAAAAACCACACAAAAAAAUUAAAAUAAAAUGACAUUUCUAUAGUAACAAUGACACACGACGGGCCUGGUGACGGCUCGUCGUGAAUAUGGCAGACCGUCAUGGGGUCCGUCCUGUCUUCCUUAGACUAUGUAUAUAUGGAGAACCCUGAAGGAGAGUCUCUAACAAGUAUGACGGUAUGUGCAGGACGGACCAUUACAGGUACGACGGUCCGUCGUAGGUGUCCGUCAGAGGACACUUGAAAAAAUAUGGAGACCCUUAGGAGAGGGGACUCUGACCGUCAUUAUGGUCAUUCAGGACAGACCGUCGUGGGUAUGACGGUCCGUCAUAGGUGUCCGUCAAAGGACACUUAGAAAAAUGGAGAGAGACCCUUUGGAGAGGGGUCUCUGGCCGUCAUAACAGUCAUGCAGGAUGGACCGUCGUGGGUAUGACGGUCCGUCAUACUCGUCGUGGGUAUGACGGUCCGUCAAACUUACUUCUCAAAUAAGAAGUAAAGCGGUCGUGUCAAGUAAAUAACCCCAACUAGUGAGGUUGGGAUCGUUCCCACGAGGAAAAUAGUUUAGACUUAACUUUAACUUAUUAUUACUAUUAUUCGGUCAAUUACUUCCUUGGAAAGUAAAAACAAUAAAAGGGGGGUUUCUAUUUCUAAAUGAAUGAAAAUAACUAACGAAAUUUAAAGAGACACUUAACAGCUUCGAAUGUUGGAGUUUAAUCAAUUAAUCAAAGUAACUUGGGUUUACGUGUUCCCCACAGGUUCAUAACUUGAUAAUUCUAACUAUAACAAUUCUUUCCUAGUAUCUUGCCUGCAAAAUGAUAAGUUAUGUAUUACUAAAUCCUUGGUUCGGUAUCUAGAAAAUCUCACUCCGCACCUUAGUACGGCUACGUGUGUUGCUAUCCUAACCCUUAUCUUUACCUCAUAUUAAGCAUUGUAUUCAAUAUUUGACUAAGUUAUUACCUCGUACCAAUCAAUACUAGCCUAUUAGAUAGUAUACACUAAAUCUAUGUUGAUAAUUCUUUUCCUAUUAUCUACCUCCUUGGUCAGGCAAGUAGCAUCAAGGAGAUUUCUAACGUUGGUCAUCAGUUAAAAAGACUUCUAAGCGAAAGAAUUAUUAAUAUAUGCAAGACACUAUUCUAGAAUUGUUAUUGUCGUUAGGUUUUAUCUCAUUAUUUGCCUAUGGUUCCCACAACCCUAGUUAUAGAGUUUAGUUACCCAUAGUCAUAAUCACAAUAUUCCAAUAUAUUAUAUAAGAAUCCAUGCACUUACUUCAAUGAGAAAGAUUAAAAUCUGAAAGUUUUCUUGAUUAAUCACCAAAAAUCACCAACAAUCACUUGCAAGAAUCUCAAAGUAAUCAAGAAUCUCACAAAAAGUCUAAUGAUAAUCAAAAGUCUAACACUAAUACAUAGAGUCUAACAAUGAUUCAGAUUGUAACAUAAAAAACGAGGUUUUUCGAAUUAUUUAUAGAAAAUAAAAACCUAAUUAAACAAGGACUCUAUUUGCUAGAAAUAUGUCAAAACGCGGCUGGGUCGACGGACCUCGCGACGAAUCGUCGUGGUCACGACGGACCGUCAUGGACUCCGUCGUCCCAUACUUGAUGAAAUUUCUUCUGCUGCUCUCUUCAUUACCCUAGACGAGAAGUAUGAUGGACCGUCAUAGGCAAAACGGUCCGUCGAGGUUCUUCGUUCCAAAACACUUGAACUCUUGGAAUAUGGAUACUAGGAUUACUUCUCUGAACUUCAUGACGAACCUGCAGGACGGACCGCCAUAGACAUGACAGACCGUCAUGGACUCCGUAACCCCACACUUGGUCAGAAUUCCCCAUCUUCCUUCAGCAGCUGCACUACGCUGCCACCUACGGACCGUCACAAGCAUGACGGACCGUCAAAAGCUCCAUAGGUGGUCUCUUCUGCAUUUCUUCGCUCAAAAACCUCUACAUACAUAUUUGAACUGAUUUCCUGCAAACAAGGAGAAACUUAUAUAAAAAUUAGCACAAAAAGGCUUUUGGACACACUAAACUUAAGGAAAAGUAUUAAUAAUAUCGUGAAACCACGGUAUAUCAGAAGUAGGUUAUGGUUUAUUUCUAUUUGAUAGAUAAACUCUAAAUAGCGAUUGAUAUGUAUUGAGUGAUAUUGUAAAGUCUCAUAUGUACUUGAUUGUGUGGUUGUAUGUUUUGAUUGUGUGGUUUGUGGUUGGCCUGAAAUUAUGAGACUAUUGAAUUUUUAAUCUUGAACCCUCUCUAUUAAAAUGACGCCUUGAAUAAAUAAGGCUUGCUGAAAUAAAAUAAUGAGAUAAUUGGAUCGGAGUGUCACAUUCUGACACGAUAUUAUGGGAUUGGAGUGUCACGUUCCGACACGGUAUUAUGGAAUCGGAGUGUCACGUUUCGAAAAAUUAACAUUAAAGUCAAGGAAUCUUGAAGUAACUUAAUAUAAUUAAUCUCAAGGAACUUAUUUUCCAAAUGAGUAUGGUGGUGGAGGCAUGAGUCCUCACAGGUGUGCUUGAUGUUGUGAUUUAUGGUGUACCUAUUAUGUUGUUGUUGUCAACGGUUCAUGUGUUUGUUGCUUGCCACCUUGUCACGACAUAAAACGAGCCACGAGUGGCACCCACACUUAUCCUACUAUGUGAGCGAACCAACCAAUCUAAACCCCAACAUUUCAACCAUAAUAAACAGAAUAUAAUGCGGAAUACUUAAAACUCAUUAAUAUAACCAAUAAAUAACUUCAAAAAUUUAAUACUUAUUAUUCCCAAAAUCUGGAAGUCAUCACCACAAGAACAUUCUAUCCUCAAAUUACUAAAUCUAAGAGUGUCUAGGAAGCUAAAAUAAGAAAACAGAUGGUCCAUGUCCGAACUUCAAGGACAUCAAGACAUGAAUGAGAGAGAAUCCAGUCCGAGCUAGGAACAAUAGCUCUCCCUGAAAUCUGAUUAUGCUGAGGUUUGGCUAGAGUUGCGGUUGAGUUGAAGUCGACGGUACGUUUGCUGCACUCCACAAAUAAUAAAGAAGAAAAUUACAAGUCGGGGUCAGUACAAGGCAUAAGUACUGAGUAGGUAUCAUCAAACAACUCAAAAUAGAAAGCAACAUAUACCGAAUAAUAACAUAAAACCAACAAAAUACUUAACAGGUGACAACAACAAGUACCAUAACCAUUGGCCACAACCCAAGCACCUCUAUGAGGACUCAAGCCUCCACACCAUGCUCACUUAGGAAUUAGGUUCUUUAAAUCUGAGUAUAUUAACAUAAUUCAAGAUUCAUUCCCAUUACUAUCCUGGUGUCGGAACGUGACACUCCGAUCCCCUCAAUAUUCAUUCAUCUUACUAUCCUGGUGUCGGAACGUGACACUCCGAUCCCCUACUAUACUGGUGUCGGAACGUGACACUCCGAUCUCCUCAAAAUCCUGGUGUCGGAACGUGACACUCUGAUCCCCUAAUAUCCUGGUGUCGGAACGUGACACUCCGAUCUCCUCAAAAUCCUGGUGUCGGAACGUGACACUCCGAUCCCCUAAUAUCCCUUCUCUAGUACUUCCAGCCUCAUAAAGUCAUUAGCCAGAGUCUGGACCUCUAUAGCCAAUGGGCGUCUAGAAACCUGUAAGUGAGCUAGACUUCCCAUGCUCCUUGUCUUUCUACUUAAAGCAUCUGCCACAACAUUAGCUUUUCCCGGAUGGUACAAGAUAGUGAUAUGAUAGUCCUUCAGUAGUUCCAUCCACCUUCUCUAUCUAAAAUUCAAAUCUUUCUGAGUAAAGACAUAUUGUAAACUACGAUGAUCCGUAUAGACUUCACAAUUAACUCCAUAUAAAUAAUGUCUCCAUUGCUUUAAUGCAAACACUACUGCAACUAACUCCAAAUCGUGGGUCGGAUAAUUACGUUCAUGCACCUUUAAUUACCUUGAAGCAUAAGCAACUACAUCCUUCUCUUGGAUUAGCACUGCACCCAAACCAAAAUAGGAUGCAUCACAAUAAACAACGAAAUUCUUACCUUCCACUGGCAGGGUAAGAAUUGGUGUAGUAGUCAACAAGGUCUUGAGCUUUUGAAAGCUUUCUUCACACUCGUCCGACCAUUCAAAUGGAACACUCUGCUUAGUCAAGUUUGUCAAUUGGGAAGCAAUAGAAGAAAAUCCCUUGACAAAUCGAUGGUAGUAGCUAGCUAAACCAAUAAAGCUCCUUACCUCUGUGACAUUAGUAGGUAUUACCCAACUCUUCACUGCUUCAAUCUUAGAAGGAUCCACCAUCACUCCAUCCUUAUAAACCACAUGCCCAAGAAGGACACUGAAUCUAACCAAAACUCACACUUGGAGAAUUUGUCAUAAGUCUUUUUCUCCCUCAACAUUUCCAAUAUAAUUCUCAAGUGCUCCUCAUGUUCUUUACUGCUCUUCGAGUAAACCAGUAUAUCAUCAAUGAAUACAAUGACAAAGAGAUCCAGAUAGGGCUUAAAAAUCCCGUUCAUCAAGCUCAUGAACGCAGCAGGGGCAUUCAUAAGCCCAAAAGACAUUACUAAGAACUCGUAAUGCCCAUACCUGGUCCGAAAAGCAGUCUUGGGCACAUCCGUUGCCCGUAUUUCAAUUGAUGAUAACCAGAUCUCAAAUCAAUUUUUGAGAAGGUACAAGCACCUUGUAACUGAUCGAACAAAUCAUCGAUGCGAGGAAGAGGAUACUUGUUCUUAAUGGUUACCUUAUUCAGUUGCCUGUAGUCUAUGCACAUACGAAAACUUCCAUCCUUCUUCUUCACAAACAAAACAGGAGCACCCUAAGGAGAUGCACUUGGUCUAAUGAGGCCUUUGCUUAACAACUCUUGAAGUUGGGCCUUUAACUCUCUUAACUCAGCAGGAGCCAUUCUAUAAGGGGGUAUGGAAAUGGGGCGAGUGCCCGUCUCCAGAUCAAUAUUGAAAUCAAUAUCUCUAUCCGGUGGCAUACAAGGAAGGUCAGCAGGAAACAUAUCUAAAAACUCACGGACUAUCGAAACAGACUCAAUUGAAGGUACUUGGGUAGUAUCAUCCUUGAGGUGUGCCAAGAAAGCUAGACACCCUUUACUAACCAUUCUCUUAGCAUGAAGAAAGGAGAUGAUAAGAACUGGAGUGGAAGUGUAGUCACCCUCCCACACUAACGGAUAUGUCCCAGGCUUGGCCAACGUUACAAUUUUAGCAUUGCAAUCUAAGAUUGCAAAAUUUGGAGAAAGCCAUGUCAUACCCUGAAUUACAUAGAAGUCAACCAUUUCUAGGAUAACCAAGUCUACAUGAGUAUUGCUCCCCACAAAAGUCACAAGACAAAACCUAUACACCUUCUCAAGUAUCACAGACACACCCACCUGAGUAGAAACACGAAUAGGCAUGUCAAGCAAAUCACAAUGUAAAUCAAAACCAGUAGCAAAUGAGGAAGAUACGUAUGAAAAUGUGGAUCCAGGAUCAAAUAAUACAGAAGCCAUGCAAUCACAAACCAAAAGAUUACCUGUGAUAACAGCAUUAGAUGUCUCCGCUACAGACCUAUAACAAUGGGUCCUAUCACCUGCCUGUCCGUUGCCCCUACCAUGUUGUGCUGCAGUAGUUCCAACUUGUCCGCCACCUCGGCUAGUUUGGUGACCACCAUUACCUUGACCAACACGUCCUACAGAAUGGCGGCCUCUCCCAUGACCACCCCUACCUCUAACUAUUGGGGGUCUGUAACUCUGUUUUGGACAAUACCUCCUAAUAUGUCCCGUCUCCCCACAUCCAUAACACUCUUUGGAUUCAAGCAUAGGUCUUUGUGAGAAUGAUGAAGUCUGGGGGUCACCUCCAAACUCAGAGAAAUGUUGACCGGUCUGCGGUGGACCCCCAGCUACAGCCUGCAGCGAAGACUGAAUAGGUCGGGCUGGGUAACCUCCUGAACCCUGCCCUCUGGAGUAAGAAUCAUUAAACUCACCUCCUUUAUGAAACUUCUUAGAUGUCGAUGCCAUGGUGAAGUCGUCUGGCUUCACUCCCUCCACUUCUAUCACAAAAUCUACCACCUCCUGAAAGGAUUUUACUGUAGUAGCUACCUGUAAGGCUGGAAUCUGCAAAUCUUAACUCAAUCCCUUCACAAAACAGUGAAUCCACUAUUGUGGACUGAAGCAAAGCUGGGUGGCAUACCUGGAUAAUGCACGAAACUUAGCCUCAUACGCAGUAACUCCUGCCUUGCCCUAGGCUCAGGAACUCAUCUCUUCUCCUAUCCCUCAAUGUUCAGGCUAUAUACUUCUCCAUAAAUAAGCUAGAGAAUGAUGCCCAAGUCAUGGGUGGUGCCUGUGCUAGUUGACACUCAAUAUACGAUCGCCAUCACAUUUUGGCAUUUCCCUGAAACUGAUAGGUUACGAACUAAACACCGAAUUGUUCCACUAUGCCCAUCUUAUGUAGCAGCUCAUGAUAAUUAACCAGAAAGUCAUGGGCAUCCUCAGAUUCAACACUCUUGAAGACUGGAGGUUUCAAUUUCAAGAACUUACUGAAAAGUUUGUGCUGAUCACUUGUCAUUAUAGGCCCUGUAGUCAACCGAGGAAACGUGCCUAUUUCCAAUGAGGCAUCCAUGUGGGGAGCCACAGCAGCUGCAUGUUGUACUCCUGGAACCUGAGGUGCUGGUGCAGAAAAUACUGGAGGUGUCUGGCCCUGAUCGGAUAACCCGCUAAGAUAAUCAAGAACCUGAUUAAUCAUCUAUGGGGUAGGUUGGAGUGGUAAUUCCUCAUUCUGCACUUGUUCAUUCUCCCCUUCCUCACCCUCUCUUAAUACUUCCUCAGUCGGUGGAGGAGUCACCGCCCUAGUACUAGCUGGGCCAGGUGCCUGUCCUCUUCCUCUAGAGGACGUCCUCCUGCGACCUCCACCAAGGCCUCUUGCCACUACUCCUCUUCGAGCUACAGCCUUAGUGGCUGGUUCAGACGCAUCUUGUCUUGCCGGUGUUGGUGUUGGCGAGGUUGUUGAUCUAGUUCUAACCAUCUGCGAAAUAGAGUGAAGAUGGUCAGAUAUCAAUUUGUAUCACCUAGAUACAAAUUGGAUCCACGUAAUAGCAUGAAAGAAAGAAAAAAUGGAAUUUUCCUAAAGUCUUAUAGCAUCUCAAAGAAAAGUAAAGGCGUCCCCCUACCAUUCCUCAAGACUGUACUAGGUUCGUUCUUGUAUGAUGAGACCAACGAACCUAAUGCUCUGAUACCAAGUUUGUCACGAUCCAAAACGAGCCAAGAGUGGCACCCACACUUAUCCUACAAUGUGAGCGAACAAACCAAUAUAAACCCCAACAUUUCAACCAUAAUAAACCGAAUAUAAUGCGGAAGACUUAAAACUUAUUAAUAUAACUAAUAUAUAACUUCGAAAAUUUAAUACUUAUUAUUCCCAAAAUCUGGAAGUCAUCACCACAAGAAAAUUCUAUCCUUAAAUUACUAAAUCUAAGAGUGUCUAGGAAGCUAAAAUAAGAGAAUAGAUGGUCCAUGUCCGAACUUCAAGGACAUCAAGACAUGAAUGAGAGAGAGAAUCCAGUCCAAGCUAGGAACAAUAGCUCACCCUGAAAUCUGAUUAUGCUGAGGUCUGGCUUGAGUUGCGGUUGAGUUGAAGUCGACGGUACGUUUGCUGCACUCCAAAAAUAACAAAGAAGAAAAUUACAAGUAGGGGUCAGUACAAGGCACAAGUAUUGAGUAGGUAUCAUCGAACAACUCAAAAUAGAAAGCAACAUAUACCGAAUAAUAACAUAAAACCAACCAAAUACUUAACAGGUGACAACAACAAGUACCAUAACCAUUGGCCACAACCCAAGAACCUCUAUGAGGACUCAAGCCUCCACACCAUACUCACUUAGGAAUUAGGUUCUUUAAAUCUGAGUAUAUCAACAUAAUUCAAGAUUCAUUCCCUUUACUAUCCUGGUGUCGGAACGUGACACUUCGAUCCCCUCAAUAUUCAUUCAUUGUACUAUCCUGGUGUCGGAACAUGUAACUCUGAUCCCCUACUAUCCUGGUGUCGGAACGUGACACUCCGAUCUCCUCAAAAUCCUGGUGUCGGAACGUGACACUCCGAUCCUCUAAUAUCCUGGUGUCGUAACGUGACACUACGAUCCCCUACUACUAUGUGACUGUUCGUGACACCCGAUCCUUUAAUUCCUGGUGUCGGUACGUGACACCCGAUCCAAUAACCUCAUUCUUUUAGUUCAUCAAGCCUUCUUUUAUAUCAAGGCAUCAUCAUUAAUAGAGAGGUUUUAAGGUUUUUAAGAUUCCACAGUAUCAUCAUUAUAAACCAUCAAUAUUUACAUAAUCACAGGAUGCAACAUCACAAUUAAGCAUAUAGAAGACUUUACAAUGCCAUCCAAUACAUAUCAAUCACUAUUUAGAGUUUACUAUGAAAUAGCAUAAACCAUAACCUACCUCCACCAAAGAACCCUGAUCAAGCAAUCUACUUCUCCAAUGCUUUGCUUUCCUCUUCGUUUCUCCCUUCUCUCGCUCGUUCUCCCCUCUUUUCUUUCUCCUCUUUCAAAUUCCUUUAUUCAAACUCUUUUUCUUUUACCCUAAUUACCAUAUAAUUAAGUAUAAAAGAUGAUAAAAGUAACCCACUAUUUAUUUCAAAGUUAUCUCCUUUAACCCCUAAGUAAAUAAGUUAUUAAACUUACCCACUAAUUUCAUAUAGUUUGAAAUAAAUAGUCCAAAACGCCCCUUAAAAACAUUAGCAGAAAUCUGACCCAGGUGGAAUUAUGCCACUCGUGACGGCCCGUCGUGCCUGUGACGGUCCGUCCUACAGGGUCGUCACAGAGUUCAGGGAGUCAAAACAGUAAGGGGUCUUGUGACGGUCCGUCGUGCCUACGAUGGUCCGUGCUGCUAUUCUAUCGCGAAUUUCAGAGAGUUGUUCUCAGUACCCAAAUUUCUAGAGUCCAAGUAUUUUGGAACGAGACCCCCUCGACGGUCCGUCGUGCCCAUAACGGUCCGUCAUGGGAUCCGUCGACCCAGACAGCUAUUACCAGAAAUAAACUCUACUGCUCAGAACGACUAAACAGGUCGUUACAAUAGAUACCAAUUUACCCAUCGUUCGUCCUUGAACGAACACAAGAAGAAAAGUAAGGGCGAGAAAGAGUACCUGAAUCUGUGAAAAGGUGUGGAUAUCUUUCUUGCAUAUUAGCCUCCUUCUCCAAAGUGGACUCUUCAACUGGCCGAUUCUUCCAUAGAACCUUGAUGGAUGCAAUCUCCCUUGAUCUCAACUUGCGGACUUCUCUAUCUAAAAUGGCAACAGGUUCCUCCUCAUAAGAUAAAUUUUCAUCAAGAAGAAAUGAAUCCCAACGCAUGAUGUAGUUUCCAUCCCCAUGGUAUCUUUUGAACACAGACACAUGAAAUACUGGGUGCACUCCUGAGAGUCCUGGGAACAAGGCUAAUUCAUAAGCUACCUCCCCCACGUGCUUCAGAACUUCAAAUGGACAAAUGUACCUCGGACUAAGCUUACCUCGCUUACCGAACCGCAUCAUCCCUUUCAUGGGUGAAACCUUCAGCAAAGCUUGCUCACCCUCCAUAAACUCCAAGUCUCUAAUCUUUCGAUGUGCAUAUUCUUUCUGCCUACUUUGAGCCGCUAGAAGCUUUUCCUGAAUGCAUUUCACUUUAUCUAACGACUCCCUCAGAAGUUCAGUACCCCAAGGUCUAACCUCAAAUGCAUCAAACCACCCAAUGGGAGACCUACAUCUUCUACCAUACAGUGCCUCGAAUGGGGACAUAUCAAUACUUGAAUGAUAGUUAUUGUUGUAUGAGAACUCUGCUAAGGGUAAGAAGUUAUCCCAAUGACCACCAAAUUCUAUAACACAUGCACGAAGCAUAUCCUCCAAAACCUGAAUCGUUCGCUCAGACUGACCAUCGGUCUGAGGGUGAAAUGCAGUACUAAGAUCCAACCUAGUACCUAAUUCAUCAUGCAAUGUUUUCCAAAAUUUAGAAGUAAACUACAUACCUCUAUCUGAUAUGAUGGAAAGUGGAACUCCAUGCAAUCGAACAGUUUCUGAGAUGUAAAGUUUGGCUAACUUCUCUGUAUUGUAAGUCACCUUGACCGGAAUUAAGUGAGCAGAUUUAGUUAAUCUGUCAACAAUUACCCAAAUAGAAUAAAACUUACCCAAUGUCUUUGGAAGACCAACCACAAAGUCCAUUGCAAUUCUCUCCCACUUCCAUUCAGGAAUGGGCAUUCUCUGAAGGGUCCCUCCGGGUCUCUGGUGUUCAUACUUUACCUGCUGACAAUUCGUGCAUUGGGCGAAAAAUCAAUGAUGUCACACUUCAUCCUAUUCCACCAAAAAUGUUGCUUUAGGUCGCGAUACAUCUUGGUUGCACCAGGAUGUAUAGAAUACCUUGAACUAUGAGCCUCCAUAAGAAUAGUGUGAAUCAAAUCAUCGACGCGGGGUACACAUACCCUCUCCUAUUCUCAAAACACCUUCCUCAUCAAUUUUUGCUUCUUUAGACUCUCCUCGCAAUACCUUAUCUUGAAUCCGGAUCAGUUUCUCAUCAGUAAACUGCUUUCCCUUAAUCUUGUCAAGAAAGGAAGAUCUUGCCUCCAUACAGGCAAAAAAUCCUCCCUUCUCUAGUACUUCCAGCCUCAUAAAGUCAUUAGCCAGAGUCUACACCUCUCUAGCCAAUGGGCGUCUAGAAAACUGUAAGUGAGCUAGACUUCCCAUGUUCCCUGUCUUUCUACAUAAAGUAUCUACCACAACAUUAGCUUUUCCUAGAUGGUACAAGAUAGUGAUAUCAUAGUCCUUCAGUAGUUCCAUCCACCUCCUCUGUAUCAAAUUCAAGUCUUUCUGAGUAAAGACAUAUUGUAAACUACGAUGAUCGGUAUAGACUUCACACUUAACUCCACAUAAAUAAUGUCUUCAUUGCUUUAAUGCAAACACUACUGCAGCUAACUCCAAAUUGUGGGUCGGAUAAUUACGUUCAUGCACCUUUAAUUGACUCGAAGCAUAAGCAAUUACAUUCUUCUCUUGGAUUAGCACUGCACCCAAACCAGAAUAGGAUGCAUCACAAUAAACAAUGAAAUUCUUACCUUCCACUGGCGGGGUAAGAAUUGGUGCAGUAGUCAACAAGGUCUUGAGCUUCUGAAAGCUUUCUUCACACUCGUCUGACCAUACAAAUGGAACACUCUGCUUAGUCAAGUUUUUCAAUUGGGAAGCAACAGAAAAAAAUCCCUUGACAAAUCGAUGAUAGAAGCUCCUUACCUCCGUGACAUUAGUAGGUCUUACCCAACUCUUCACUUCUUCAAUCAUAGAAGGAUCCACCAUCACUCCAUCCUUAGAAACCACAUGCCCCAAGAGGGACACUGAAUCUAACCAAAACUCACACUUGGAGAAUUUGGCAUAAAGCUUUUUCUCCCUCAAAACUUCCAAUACAAUUCUCAAGUGAUCCUCAUGUUCUUUCCUGCUCUUCGAGUAUACCAGUAUAUCAUCAAUGAAUACAAUGACAAAGAGAUCCAGAUAGGGAUUAAAAAUCCCGUUCAUCAUGCUCAUGAAGGGGCAUUCGUAAGCCCAAAAGACAUUACUAAGAACUCGUAAUGCCCAUACCUGGUACGAAAAGCAGUCUUGGGAACAUCCGUUACCCGUAUUUUCAAUUGAUGAUAACCAGAUCUCAAAUCAAUUUUUGAGAAGGUACAAGCACCUUGUAACUGAUCGAACAAAUCAUCGAUGCGAGGAAGAGGAUACUUGUUCUUAAUGGUUACCUUAUUAAGUUGCCUGUAGUCUAUGCACAUCCGAAAACUUCCAUCCUUCUUCUUCACAAACAAAACAGGAGCACCCCAAGGAGAUUCACUUGGUCUAAUGAAGCCUUUGCUUAACAACUCUUGAAGUUGGGCCUUUAACUCUCUUAACUCAGCGGGAGCCAUUCUAUAAGGGGGUAUGGAAAUGGGGCGAGUGCCCGGCUCCAGAUCAAUACAGAAAUCAAUAUCUCUAUCCGGUGGCAUACCAGGAAGGUCUGCAGGAAACAUAUCUAGAAACACACGGACUAUCAAAACAGACUCAAUUGAAGGUACUUGGGUAGUAUCAUCCCUGAGGGGUGCCAAGAAAGCUAGACACCCUUUACUUACCAUUCUCUUAGCAUGAAGAAAGGAGAUGAUACGAACAGGAGUGGAAGUGUAGUCACCCUCCCACACUAACGGAUAUGUCCCAGGCUUGGCCAACGUUACAGUUUUAGCAUUGCAAUCUAAGAUUGCAAAAUUUGGAGAAAGCCAAGUCAUACCCUGAAUUACAUCGAAGUCAACCAUUUCUAGGAUAACCAAGUCUACAUGAGUAUUGCUCCCCACAAAAGUCACAAGACAAGACCUAUACACCUUCUCAGCUAUCACAGACUCACCCACCGGAGUAGAAACACAAAUUGGCAUGUCAAGCAAAUCACAAUGUAAAUCAAAACCAGUAGCAAAUGAGGAAGAUACAUAUGAAAAUGUGGAUCCAGGAUCAAAUAAUACAGAAGCCAUGCAAUCACAAACCAAAAGAUUACCUGUGAUAACAACAUCAGAUGUCUCCGCUUCAGACCUCCCAGGGAAAGCAUAACAAUGGGUCCCAUCACCUGCCUGUCCGUUGCCCCUACCAUGUUGUGCUGCAGUAGUUCAAACUUGUUCGCCACCUCGGCUGGUUUGGUGACCACCAUUACCUUGACAAACGCGUCCUCCAGAAUGGCGGCCUCACCCAUGACCACCUCUACCUCUAACUAUUGGGGGUCUGUAACUUUGUUUUGGGCAAUACCUCCUAAUAUGUCCCGUCUCCCCACAUCCAUAACACUCUAUGGAUUCAAGCAUAGGUCUCUGUGAGAAUGAUGAAGUCUAGGGGUAACCUCCAAACUCAGAGAAAUGUUGACCGGUCUGCGGUGGACCCCCAGCUACAGCCUGCAGCGAAGACUGAAUAGGUCGGGCUGGGUAACCUCCUGAACCCUUCCCUCUAGAGUAAGAACCAUUAAACUCACCUCCUUUACGAAACUUCUUAAAUGUCGAUGCCAUGUUGAAGUCGUAGGGCUCACUCCCUCCACUUCUAUCACAAAAUCUACCACCUACUGAAAGGAUUUUGCUGCAGUAGCUACCUGUAAGGCUGGAAUCUACAAAUCUGACCUCAAUCCCUUCAAAAAACGGCGAAUCUUCUCUUGUGGACUGAAGCAAAGCUGGGUGGCAUACCUGGAUAAUGCAGGAAACUUAGCCUCAUACGCAAUAACAAACAUCCUGCCUUGAUCUAGGCUCAGGAACUCAUCUCUCCUCCUAUACCUCAAAGUUCGGGGUAUAUACUUCUCCAUAAAUAAGUUAAAGAAUGAUGCCCAAGUCAUGGGUGGUGCCUGUGCUGGUUGACACUCAACAUACGAUCGCCACCAUAUUUUGGCAUUUCCUUAAAACUGAUUGGUUACAAACUCAACACCGAAUCGUUCCACUAUGCCCAUCUUAUGUAGCAGCUUAAGACAAUCAACCAGAAAGUCAUAGGCAUCCUCAGAUUCAGCACCGUUGAAGACUGGAGGUUUCAAUUUUAAGAACUUACUGAAAAGUUUGUGCUGAUCACUUGUCAUUAUAGGCCCUAUAGUCAACCGAGGAAACGUGCCUAUUUCCAAUGAGGCAUCCAUGCGGGGAGCCACUACAGUUGCAUGUUGUAUUCACAGAACCUGAGGUGCUGGUGCAGAACCUGAUUAAUCAUCUCAAGGUAGGUUGGGGUAGUAAUUCCUCAUUCUGCACUUGGUCAUUCUCCCCUUACUCACCCUCUCUGAAUACUUCCUCAGUCGGUGGAGGAGUCACCGCCCUAGUACUAGCUGGGCCAGGUGCUUGUCCUCUUCUUCUUGAGGACGUCCUCCUGCGACCUCUACCACGGCCUUUUGCCACUGCUCCUCUUCGAGCUACAGCCUCAGUGGGUGGUUCAGACGCAUCUUGUCUUGCCGGUGUUGGUUUUGGCCCGGUUGUUGCUCUAGUUCUAACCAUCUGUGAAAUAGAGUGAAGAUGGUCAGAUAUCAAUUUGUAUCACCUAGAUACCAAUUGGAUCCACGUAAUAGCACGAAAGAAAGAAAGAAUGGAAUUUUCCUAAAGUCUUAUAGCCUCUCAAAGAAAAGUAAAGGCUUCCCCCUACCGUUCCUCAAGACUCUACUAGACUCGUUCUUGUAUGAUGAGACCAACGAACCUAAUGCUCUGAUACCAAGUUUGUCACGACCCAAAACGAGCCGCGAGUGGCACCCACACUUAUCCUACUAUGUGAGCGAACAAACCAAUAUAAACCCCAACAUUUCAAUCAGAAUAAACAGAAUAUAAUGCGGAAGACUUAAAACUCAUUAAUAUAACCAAUAAAUAAAUUCUAAAAUUUAAUACUUAUUAUUUCCAAAAUCUGGAAGUGAUCAUCACAAGAACAUUCUAUCCUCAAAUUACUAAAUCUAAGAGUGUCUAGGAAGCUAAAAUAAGAAAACAGAUGGUCCAUGUCCGAACUUCAUGGACAUCAAGACAUGAAUGAGAGAGAAUCCAGUCCGAGCUAGGAACAAUAGCUCACCCUGAAAUCUGAUUAUGCUGAGGUCUGGCUAGAGUUGCGGUUGAGUUGAAGUCGACUGUACGUUUGCUGCACUCCACAAAUAACAAAGAAGAAAAUUACAAGUAGUGGUCAGUACAAGGCACAAGUACCGAGUAGGAUUCAUCGGCCAACUCAAAAUAGAAAGCAACAUAUAUCGAAUAAUAACAUAAAACCAACAAAAUACUUAACAGGUGACAAUAAGAAGUACCAUAACCAUCGGCCACAACCCAAGCACCUCUAUGAGGACUCAAGCCUCCACACCAUACUCACUUAGGAAUUAGGUUCUUUAAAUCUGAGUAUAUUAACAUAAUUCAAGAUUCAUUCCCCUUUCUAUCCUGGUGUCGGAACGUGACACUCUGAUCCCCUCAAUAUUCAUUCAUCUUACUAUCCUGGUGUCGGAUCGUGACACUCCGAUCCCCUACUAUCCUGGUGUCGGAACGUGACACUCCGAUCCCCUCAAUAUCCUGGUGUCAGAACGUGACACUCCAAUCCCCUAAUAUCCUGGUGUCGAAACGUGACACUCCGAUCCCCUACUACUAUGUGUCAGUUCGUGACUCCCGAUCCUUUAAUUCCUGGUGUCGGUACGUGACACCCGAUCCAUUAACCUCAUUAUUUUAUUUCAUCAAGCCUUCUUUUAUAUCAAGGCAUCAUCAUUAAUAGAGAGGUUUUAGGGUUUUUAAGGUUCCACUGUAUCAUCAUUAUAAACCAUCAAUAUUUAAAUAAUCACAGCAUGCAAAAUCAUAAUUAAGCAUAUAGAAGACUUUACAAUACCAUCCAAUACAUAUCAAUCGCUAUUUAGAGUUUACUAUGAAAUAGCAUAAACCAUAACCUACCUCCAUCGAAGAACCAUGAUCAAGCAAUCUACUUCUCCAAUGCUUUGCUUUCCUCUUCGUUUCUUCCUUCUCUCGCUCGUUCUCCCCUCUUUUCUUUCUCCUCUUUCAAAUUCCCUUAUUCAAACUCUUUUUGUUUUACCCUAAUUACCAUAUAAUUAAGUAUAAAAGAUAAUAAAAGUAACCCACUAUUUAUUUCAAAGUUAUCUCCUUUAACCCCCAAGUAAAUAAGUUAUUAACUUUACCCACUAAUUUCAUACAGUUUGACAUAAAUAGUCCUAAACACUCCUUAAAAAUUGUAGCAGAAAUCUGAACCAGGUGUAAUUACGCCACUCGUGAUGCCCGUCGUGCCUGCGACGAUCCGUCCUGCAGGGUCAUCACCGAGUUCAGAGAGUCAAAACAGUAAGGGGUCUUGUGACGGUCCGUCGUGCCUAAGACGGUCCGUGCUGCUCUUCUCUCGGGAAGCUCAGAGAGUUGUUCCCAGUACCCAAAUUUCCAGAGUCUAAUUGUUUUAGAACGAGACCCCCUCAACGGUCCGUCGUGCCCAUGACGGUCUGACGUGGGAUCCGUCGACCCAGACAGCUAUUUCCAGAAAUAAACUCUACUACUCAAAACGACUAAACAGGUCGUUACACACCUGUUAAGUAUUGUAGUUAAAUUUAUAUUAUUAUUCAUUAUAUAUUGAUUUCUAUUUUGAGUUGACCGAUAAUACCUACUCAGUACGUGUUCCUUGUACUGACCCUUACUUGUAUUUUCUUCUCUGUUCUUUUGUGGAGUGUAGAAAGUGUACCAUCGAAUUCGACUCGCCCUCAGCUCUAGCCAGUCUCCAGCACAUCAGAGCUCAAGGUGAGCUAUUAUUUCUAGCUCGUGCUGGAUUCUCUAAUUCACGUCUUGAUGUCUUUGAAUUUCGUACAUGGACCAUCUUUUUUCUUAUUUUGUUUUCUUAAAUAUUCUUACACUUGGUAAAUUGAGGAUAGAUGUCCUUGAUGUGAUGAUUUCCAGAUUUUGGGGAUAAUAAGUGUCAAACUUUAGAAGCUUAUUUAAUUGGUAAUGUUAAUAUGUUUUGGAUCUUCCGCAUUAUUUUUAUUAUUGAUAGUUGAUCUAUUGGUAAAUGUUGGGGUUUAGAUCUGUUGGUUCGCUCACCUAGGAGGUUAAGUAUGGGUACCACUCAUGACUCGUUUUGGGUCCUGACAUUUUCUUAUCUCUCGGAUGUUCAACUAUAAGAUCGAAGACCAAAUGGAAAGUCAAAGAAUCAUACUGCACGCAAUCAGUCCUACAAGGCUCACAUGACUGGAAUGAAGAAGCCAAAGACUUACUGUCACAGCUCCACCAAAGGGGUAUGUAAAAGAGAACCCAACUAUUAUUUACAAACUUUGCUUCUUAUGAUAUUUUUCUAUUGAUAUCAAUCUCUUUUAUAACAUUGGUUGUUGGCUACAUUAGCUCCUAUUACGCUAUAAAUUUAAAAUUUAAGUUGAUGAAGUGUUAAUUUUGAAAUAUGAAAAUUGUGUUUGAACACCAAGGAUGUAGUUUUCCAACAACCAAAAAUAGAACAACGAAGCAUAAUCACCCAGCCAAAAAGAUAAUCCAACAUCAAUAACAAAUCCAAAAGAAGAAAAUAAAAAAACACUUCUGCGUCCAGAUCAAAUUUGGAACUUUGAUUUUGACGAAGAGGAAGAUGACACAAAAAAACCUCAUCUGAAACAUGUAAAAAUCAUACAUGGAGAAUGCUUAAGAGAAAACAGAACAUUGAUGUGCACACAGUGGAAAAGACACGUCAGAAUAAGGAACUGAAAUGACAAAAUUGUUAAGCCAGGACGAAGACACGUAUACAUUAUAGAAAAUGAAAAGGCAAAACUACCCUUGAGAGUAGUGAAAUAGGCAUGUUGAGACAAUAUAUAUAUAUAUAUAUAUAUAUAUAUUGUGUGCGUGUGUGUGUGUGUAUGUAUAUAUACAUAUACAUAUAUACAUAUACAUAUAUAUAUAUAUAUAUAUAUAUAUCCGUAAUACGGGUCCAAUAUAAUUUCACAUAUUUUGUUGAAAAAAUUAGAUAAAUUCACAACUUAAGAUAUUAUAGUGCUCUCUCGGAUGCAUCCCCAUUUUCUCUUGGAUACAUCUAUUUCCUCUCGAAUAUAUAUCUAUUUCUUCUUGAAUAUAUUCCUUACUCGAAGUAAUAUGUCAUUUGCAAUGUAUUGGACAACCAAGGAAUAUAUAUCGAGAGGAAUGAAAAAUUUGAGAUUUUUCUAAUUGAGAAAACUUCUCGGAUAUGAGUUAAAAUAUUUCAUGUUCAAGAAAUAUAUAAAAUGUUGAUUGAAAAUAUUCAUCGGUCUUCAUAUAAAUUCGCAAGUGAUGUCUAUUUUUCACAAUGUUAUUUUCUUCGUUUUGUGAUAUUUGCACCAUAAGCUUUGCAUCUGAUAAAAUACUGAUCAUUGAUCAAUCAAUUCGUAAAGAUUGUUUUAAAGUCUUUCAGAUCUCUAUUACUUCAACUUAAGUAUAAUUUUUUUGUAUUUGACUUUGUCGAUAAAUUUUGUGAUACAUUUUAUUAUUUUUUUUCAUAAAUAGAAAUACUUAAAAAAUUAAUUUCUACCUUCACAACAAUAAAAACAAUCAAUAAAGAAACUUUAUUUCUAUAUAUAAUAACAGUUAUCGUAAUGUUAUAUUCUAAAUAUUGAAAAUAUUUAUCAAAAAAAUAAUUUUUGCCUCCACAAAAUAAAAAAAAUCAUGAAAUAAACUUUAUUCUAUAUACAAAAACUAUUAUCGUAAUGUUAUAUUCUAAAUUACAUUAAUUAUUUUUAUGAUACUACACUUAAAUAUCAUGUUGUAAAGAAAACUCUAAAGCUUUCCCCUACAAAAUAACCAAUAUACUUUUUUCAGAUUUUUUUUUAAUUUAUUUAUUCUUUAGUUUUUUCUUCCUCUAUAUUUCUAAACAAUGUUUUUGUCGUUCACAUUUUCUUUUGUUGUUGUUCUUUAUUUUUAAUUACUCAUUUACUUUAUUUUGAAUUUCAAUAUUCAUUAGGAUUUGAAUAUUAAACUUUGACCUUAUCAAAUUUAUCAUAUUUGAAAUUAAGAAAAUAUAAAAAUAAAAAUUUUAUAUUUUAUAAUUUUUCGAUGAAUAUAUUAUCAAAUUAUGGAUUUCUUGAUAGUCAAACAUUGUUCAUUCUUUUAGUAAUGAAGUUUGAUACUUUGUUCAAAUUAUUUAAAAAACUACUGAUACAUCAUUUAAAGACUAUUUUAAUAAUCAAAAUACGAAUUUAGUGGUUAUUACAUAACAUAAUAUUAAAAAUAUGUUUACGCAAUAUUCCUUUAAAGUGUUUCUAGGAACAAAAUAUUAACUAUUCAAACACAUUUUAUUUUGUUUCUUUCUAAAAUAUGUCAAAACACAUUUAUUAUUGUAUGUAAAAAAUUAAUCAAGUAAUAUAAACUCUUCAUUUAAAACAAAAUUACAAUAAUAUCUUUAUGGGUCCAUCCCAAAAAUUAAGACAUGUAUGGAUUUUUGUAGAUUCUCAUUUUGACCAUUAAUUAUACAAUUAUUAUUUUACCCUUAAGUGAUGUUAAAAUUACUAAAAUGUCAUUGAUCGUCUUUCUCAUGGCUCUUCUAUAUAAUAAAUACUAUAUAUAAUAUGCCCGUGCUAUGCACGGGCCCAACGAAUUUAGCUUCCUUGUAUUAGCGUAGCAUUUAUUCUUACACUUAGUAAAUAUAGAGUAAAUGACAUUUUAUAAAUUUAAACUGGCAAAAUGAUAGAAAUAUCGAGACAAUACAUAAAAAACAUUACUUAAUAUUUAAUUAGAAAAAAAAAAGCUUUUAGCUUAAGUCAAUUUCAAAAAAUUGCUCAUAGGGAGAGAAUUUUUUAUGAUUAUAACAAAAUCAAGUCCAGAUUGAAUAAUCUAUAAAUUUACAAGUUUUAACAAUAUUAGCUAAGUGUAAUAUGAGGCUCAUAGGGAAAAGGAAGUUGGUUAUGGUUAGUUUGAAAAGGGAAAUAUAUGUCAAACCGCAAGGCUCUUCAGUUUGAAUAAAAGUAAGGGCAAAACAUUAAGGUUAUAUCGAGUAUUGAGGUCUCAUAAACUGUGAUCAUCCAUACAACACAACUGUUUUCUAAAAAAACUUGAAAUUUGACAUCUCCAGUAGUUAAUCAAACAUAAUUAACUAUGCAUUGCUCUGUCACAAAAUACCAAUUGACCACAUGUUCUAUGGCUUAUCUUAGUUCUCUUUUAAUAGAAUUAAACAAAAAGUGUAAAGUUCCUAGGUUGUUGUUCUCACAUGCGAUGCAGAAAUUCAUCAGCAUAUGGCUUAUUUUCAAUGUAUCGAGGGUUAAUAUAUUGUUCUCUUACUUCUUUCUUGGGUCCUUGUGAUGUCAUCUCAUUGUAUAUAUCUGCAAAAAAAUAAAACAAUGCAUUACAUAUCCAGGUGAUAAGAAAUCACAUCUUAUAGUAGUUUAUAAUAUCAUUUAGACGUGAGAAACUAUAAAACAUCAUUUAGUAAUUAAAACUAUUUACAUAUAAAAAUUCAAUUUUAUUUUUAAAAAAUUUAACCACAAUUCAUGCCAAAUUGCAAAAAAAUCCUCUUCAUUUAAGAACUUAAAAGUUAAGAUUUCACCAUGUUUUACAAAUAGAUUAAAAAUUAUCAAUUCUAAGACUUUAUAUUCAAACAGGAAUAAUGACUAUGCAUUCUCUUAAUUCUAAGUUGCAAUACUGCUAUAAAUUAGAAAGCACAUGCACUUGAAUUUCUAAACAAAAGAUUUUAAGUGGAUUAAGAAGAUUGUUAUCCAUAGACAAUCUGCAUCCACACGAAAAAUUUGGGAUAAUUAAAUAACACCAAUAAAAGGCCAAGGGAUAACAAAAUAGAAAAGGACAGACGUACUGCGAAGCAUAAACAUAAAAUAAAGUACUCGGUAGACUACUAUCUAAAUUUUUAUGAAAUUUGAAAACACAGGACCCCCUUACUUCAAAUCGUGUUUGUACUUAUCCCAUCACACAGUUGAAUUUUCAAAGAAAACAUUCAUCAUUUACUAUACUAAUUCGAAAGACACCACAUAUAAAUAAUCUUACGAACAUAAGGGUCAAACUAGUAAGAGAAUUUCCAUUUUAGAAAAAUCGUAUAAAUAUUGUUCAAUUAGAUGACACACCCUACCCUUAUCAUUCUCACAAUUCCCUACAAAAGUAACAAAAUAUCAGCCAUACCACGAUUGAAGUAAGGAAUAAAUGUGAGUCUCUAUCUAAGUGAGGAAUACAUGUGAGUCUCUAUAUCACAUUAAAUUCUUAAAAAUAUAUAUUCCUCAACUGCCCCAAAGUUAUUUUUAGGAGAGAAAUUAUGUAAUCAUAGAUACAUAUUUCUCAAAUAUUGAAAAGAAGAUGAGGUUCUUGCUCAGUGAUAAUCAUGGAUUAGCUAUUUAUACCCCAUCCACCAUUUAGUGAAAAUUAACAUGUCAAACUCUUUCUAGUAAAUAGCAGAACAAUUCAAAGGAUGUUACUCAUUAUCUAAAAUAGAAAAUGUGCAAUUCUACAAGGACAAAAGAAUAACAUUGGAUGUAUUAAUACUAUCACAAACACUAAAAAUUCUUCUCAAUAUUUCUCCACUCAACUUGUUUGUCUAACUGGAUCAAUUUUCUUUAAAGAUAUCAAGGACAAGAGUAAGUAUAAUUUUUUCUAAAACAAGUAGUGAUUGUUUGAGUAGUCUAUUAUAUUAGAAGGAGAAAAAAGAAGAUUCAUAAGCGAAGAUAUGAUGAUAUUUUCUACUUCGAAAGUCAUAUUUAUCCCUCAAGAAUCUAUUUCUUAACAAAUUCUAUCUUUAUUAGUUCAAGACUUUUAUGAUUGCUCAUAACAUAGGGAAAAUCAUUUUCACGCAGUAGAAGACUUCAUUCCUUCAUAUAUAACAUGAACCAAAAAAGAAUUGUAGAAAAAAACAAAUAAAAACAUUAAGAUUGACUUCCGAAAGCAUAUACACCGAUCAAUAUGCAGUAUGUACAUACAAAUAGUUACUCCUAGAUCUCCUUUGUAGUUAAAUAACCAAAUUUUAACAGUGAUACAAAAUAAUGAUUACCAUAAUCACCCCAUAAUGAUUAUGUUCGCAAUAUCAAUGGCUUCAACAAAUGUCCCUCAAAAAUAUAGUUUAAUGUCAUCAUCGACAUUAAUAUCUAAAUAUGACAAAUAUAAUGAACCCCUAAACAAGGAUAAUGAGACAAAGUAAAAUAAAAAGAAGAUACCACGAAUAAAAGUACAUUAUUAUUGCUUCUAUCUAGACUAAAGAGUUUAUAGAUAAUAAGCAGCAAAUGAGUUAUGGUGACACCAAAACUUUGAAAAUUAUAGGAGAAUACUGGAAUCUCUUAGGUAUAACAUGCCAAAAGCAUGUGAUCAAUCAUCUGAAUACCAAAUAAGUCAUAGAAUGAAGACGUUGGUUCUUGCGUCAGAUGCUUUCAAAGGGAUGAAUGAGUCGAUGUUCAUUCAAAAGUUGUUUAUAUAAAACAAGGAGAUGAGGUAAUUACAAGGUUGUCAAAGUUAUUAUGCCUAAUUUAGUGUAUGACCAUAAAAAAGUAUCAUAAACUUCACAACUAUUUACGAUAUAUUUAAAAUUCAUCUUAACAUUCUUAUAUUUUGUAGUUAAUAGCGAAAGAUAAUGGAGAGAAUUAAUCAUAAAAACUUUCUUAUUAUAGAGGAGAACAUAAAAAAACAUAUUUGUGGGAUCACAUAAUUUUUUGAGUUAUGUUUUAUUGUGAGAUUAAUGUUGUAAUUUUGCUUUCUUUAAGUCGAAGGCCUAUCAGAAACGAAUUCAUUAUCUAACAAUUGAAAGGUAUAAUUAAUCAUGUGCAAGGUUUAAAUCAGUAGAUUUAGCUUUCUAAAUGUACAUUUAGUUAACUCUAUUGAUCACGUUCAAGAUGCACGUCGGCGUAUAAUUUGUGUACAAUUUUGAUUGCUGGUGACUGAAAAGAAUUAAAACUUAUAUUUUGAAUUUUUCAAGAUACCAAUAUGAGUGACGUACUACUAAACUUGAAGAGUAACCUGUAUAGAGUAUUUUUCAACCUCUUUAUUUGAGCUCUCAAUGUAAUUUUAUCCUCAAUAUACUAAUGUUGUUGGGAUUUUUUUUCAAUCUUUAUAUUUUUGAAGUGGAUUCAUUUAACAAAAAAAAGUAUUUUCUAUCGUUAGAAAACUCCUACUACAUUUAAAUGGUAUGUACAUAUUUCUAUUAUAUAAUAUAAUAUAAAUGUAAAUAUUGCGUGAAAUUGUUCUUUUUUUCUUAAUUAAUGGAUCAUCAAAAGCCAUUCUCAAUUGUUUACUUAUUCCACAUAUAUGCAAAUUUAUAUAUAACAUAUUUCUCAUAAGUUAUUGUGGUCCCAAACUUACAUUCAAAAACCAAGUCAAUUACAUUUGCCAAUGUACCGAGGGAGUUUCAUAGGUAAAAAUCUUACACUGGCUAAAAUUAUAUCGUACUAUAUGUAGUAGAGUUGAAAUUCCUUAUUUUUUAUUAUGUGUGCUUAAAUCUUUAUAUUCUGAAUUCUGUUAAUAAAAAUGGGGAUAAUGCCCAAGUACCCCCUCAACCUAUGCCCGAAAUCUCAGAGACACACUUAUACUAUAUUAAGGUCCUAUUACCCCCUGAACUUAUUUUAUUAAUAAUAUUUUACACCUUUUCGACCUACGUGGCACUAUCCAAGAUGAUUGACUUUUUUUUUUCCAAACUAGUGCCACGUAGGCUAAGAAGGGGUAAAAAAUUACUUAAUAAAUAAGUUUAGGGGUUAAUAGAACCUUAGUAUAGUAUAACUGUGUCUCUGAAAUUUCGGACAUAGGUUGAGGGGGUACUUGUGCAUUUUCCUAUAAAAAUGUUAUAUCUGUUCGAGGGUUGAAGGAUAUUGGAGUAAAACAAACAAACUCAAUUCAAAAUUGAAAGGGCUUUAAUCACUAUAGACCUAAAAGUUGUGUCUCAAUAUCAUAGAAAUUAAUAUAGACAAGGAGUGACAUAGAGAGAAGGACAACUAGAGUAAAGAGUAACUAGAUCCAAACAAAAAUUGAAAUAAUAUUUAACAAAUCGGUACAUUACAUGCAUACCUAUUGAUAAAAUAAAUCAGCUCAAUUUCACAAAUAUGAACUCGAACCGUUACUAAUUUGUUAUUUUCUUAUUAUAUAAACCUUCACAACAACCAUGAAUUUCAGCAAUAAAAUUAGGAAAGAGAAUGAGAUAGAAUAACAAAGAGAUCAAGGACAAAAUUGAGUCGUAAAAUUCAAGUCUAUAAAAAAAAAGGCGAAAGAAUUUUGUAGCAAAAGUUUGAAGAAAAUAUACCUGGAAUUAUGAAGAGUCCAUAUGUUCCUCGUCAUAGUUUUGUAGGAUAACAUACCAGAUGUUUCACUUUUGUGGAGAUGAAGAGAACCAAAGAAUGAAGAUUUAUGAUUUUUAGUGGAUUAAAUAUCUUGCACUGGAUGAUUCUAGAUGUUUGGAGAGAGAUCAUUU
rnacentral:lncRNA from 1 species